rnacentral:rRNA from 1 species
AUGAAGUUGGAAUUGCUAGUAAUCGCGAAUCAGAAUGUCGCGGUGAAUACGUUCCCGGGCCUUGUACACACCGCCCGUCACACCAUGAGAGUCGAUAACACCCGAAGCCUGUGAGCUAACCGCAAGGAGGCAGCAGUCGAAGGUAGGAUUGGCGACUGGGGUGAAGUCGUAACAAGGUACC